rnacentral:rRNA from 1 species
CCAAUAGCGUAUAUUAAAGUUGUUGCAGUUAAAAAGCUCGUAGUUGAAUUUCGGGAUCAGUAGGUUGGUCGUGCCACUGGUAUGCACUGGCCUUACUGAUUCCUCCUUCUUGUAGAACCGUAAUGCCAUUAAGUUGGUGUUGCGGGGAAACAGGACUGUUACUUUGAAAAAAUUAGAGUGUUUAAAGCAGGCUAACGCUUGAAUACAUUAGCAUGGAAUAAUGAAAUAGGACGUUCGAUCCUAUUUUGUUGGUUUCUAGGAUUGACGUAAUGAUUAAUAGGGAUAGUUGGGGGCAUUAGUAUUCAAUUGUCAGAGGUGAAAUUCUUGGAUUUAUUGAAGACUAACUACUGCGAAAGCAUUUGCCAAGGAUGUUUUCAUUAAUCAAGAACGAAAGUUAGGGGAUCGAAGACGAUCAGAUACCGUCGUAGUCUUAACCAUAAACUAUGCCGACUAGGGAUCGGAUGAUGUUAAUUUUUUAAUGACUCAUUCGGCGCCUUACG